AUAACAUUUCGACAGACAGAAGAACACAGCGGAAGUUAACAAGUGCCUCUUCCAGCACAGUAUCUCCCUCUGAAGCCUCCCACCCCUUCAGAGGACAACUGUGCAGAAGCCCACAGUGGGCCUCUGUAACAGCCAGCCCCAGUGCCCAGAUGCUGCCUGACUAUGGAGUUUCCACUGACAACUCGCUCGCUAAUUCCUUGCAUGGGAAAACUACAUCUUUGCUGGCUCAAAGUGUGGUCCUUUGAGCCAGCAGCAUCCAGCAAGUCACAGAGGCCCAUUAAAGAUGCAGAUCCUCUGGCCCUGCUCCAGGACUGCGGCUUCAUGGUUUUUCUCAAGGAAUGUCUGAGAGGGACUGAAUUGCAUGUCCAAGCCACAGAGAUUCAGUGGCCUCCCCAGUGAUGAAAUUACAGCUAUGGCACCCUCAGAAGGAGGAGAAACCUCAGGCGGC
rnacentral:lncRNA from 1 species